ACGGCUCAGUAACACGUGGACAACCUACCCUGAGGUCGGGGAUAAACCCGGGAAACUGGGUAUAAUACCCGAUAGAUCUAGAUCGCUGGAAUGCUUUUAGGUCUAAAGUUCCGACGCCUCAGGAUGGGUCUGCGGCCUAUCAGGGUAGUAGUGGGUGUAAAGUACCUACUAGCCCACGACGGGUACGGGUUGUGAGAGCAAGAGCCCGGAGAUGGAUUCCGAGACACGAAUCCAGGCCCUACGGGGUGCAGCAGGCGCGAAACCUUUACAAUGCUGGCAACAGCGAUAAGGGGACCUCGAGUGCUACGAUACAAUCGUGGCUGUCUAGUUGCCUAAAAAGCAAUUGAUAGCAAGGGCCGGGCAAGACCGGUGCCAGCCGCCGCGGUAACACCGGCGGCUCGAGUGGUAACCGCUAUUAUUGGGUCUAAAGGGUCUGUAGCCGGCUUAGUUAGUCUCUUGAGAAAUCUGGCCGCUCAACGGUCAGGCGUUCAGGGGAUACUGCUAAAGCUCGAGACCGGGAGAGGUGAGAGGUACUUCAGGGGUAGGGGUGAAAUCUUGUAAUCCUUGAAGGACCACCAGUGGCGAAGGCGUCUCACCAGAACGGAUCUGACGGCAAGGGACGAAAGCUAGGGGCACGAACCGGAUUAGAUACCCGGGUAGUCCUAGCCGUAAACGAUACUCGCUAGGUGUCGGCCACGGUGCGACCGUUGUCGGUGCCGUAGGGAAGCCGUGAAGCGAGCCACCUGGGAAGUACGGCCGCAAGGCUGAAACUUAAAGGAAUUGGCGGGGGAGCAC
rnacentral:rRNA from 1 species